AUGGAUUGUGACAACACCUGCAUGCUAUCCUGACUCUAUGGCAUCUAAAAUGUUUUGCAUAUCUCGAUUAUAUGGCAAUGAUAAAGAAGAUUGUCAAGUUAUCAGUGUGACAUCCCAGUUUAUGUAUCAACAUUAUGAUGUCACAACUCAGUUGACCUAUUAAGGAAACCUUUGUUACUGUUAUGGUAAUAAUCCGAAAUACUACUGCAAGUGGAAUUUAUAGCAGCUAUUUCAUUCAAUAUGAAAACUAGACCUGAAAACUUUGUUCUACUGUAUAUAAUAUAUGCUAGUGAUAUUAAUUUUAAAAGUAUUGUAUUUUGUGGAACUUGUGUAGUAUUGUUAUAUUUGUGGUGUUACUCUGAGUGUAUAUCCACACCGGGCGAGCUUGAAAAAUAUGCCCGGCCACGGUGGGAUUCGAACCUACGACC